AGUGAAUCAGACGCCACAGGCAGCAUGGUGCAGCUCAUUUCCAGCCAUUACGCGGUUAAACCCAAAUCCACAGGAAAAGACAAAGCCAGCAAUAAAGUCCCUAAUGGCUCGAAUCCUCGUCUUGUCAUCAGACCAACUAUUAACAUGAUGUGGUCAUCCACAUUUAAAGUAAGUGAACGAGUCUUUACUUUAACUCUUUAAAUGUUAUUCUCAGCAUAUCAAGUCUAAUUUUUGCUCAGUUGAAUUUAAUUAAAUGAUGAUCUGCCUUAAAGACUAACGUAUGUGAAGGUCCAAGCCACAACAAAGCCACUGAAAAAUCUACCUGGCAGAAGUAAGAUAGCAAUGCAAACACAAAGAAAGAAACUUUUACUUUGGUUUUUACAGCAUUUGGUGUGUUUGUUGACUUUGUCCAGGAAAGAUGUUUUUGCAUUCAGCCUGGAUUCACCACUGAAAAUACGGGUAAAUAUUUUUAUUGUCCAUUAUUUAGAAUCAGUAAAUCACCAAAUUCUCCCUCGUGGAAUAAAUUGAGGUCUAUCAAAUUUGAUUGUAGGGUGUGAACAAAACCCUCACUGACUCGUCAAACCAAAUGCAGAGUGACAUCAACGGUUCCUCAUCUUGCCUAGUUUCAACCAAGAGAGGACAACCCGAGCCAAAAAGCAAGCGACAUGUGAAGAAACAUCUGUUUAGUGACACGGACCCGGAUGAUGCAAAGACAGAUUACAGCUGGCUGAGAGAGUCCAGCAGGAAACCAAAACCCAAAGUGACCAAAUAUAGCAGACAGGCUCCCAUCAAAGCAGCUGCUGUAGAACCUCAAACUUCAGGUGAUUCCUCAGAUCUACGUCCACCUCCUCCAAGUGCUGCAGUUAAUGGAAGCAAACCCAACAAGAAAAAUACACACCUAAAGAAUGAAAUGAACCGUCCAAAGAAGUCAGUGGGAGCAGCAGCAGCUGCUGCAUUCAGUAAAGGACCCACAGCUGCAAAGAGACCCAAGAGAGCAGCAGCCAGAUCUACCAAAAACUACAAGGAGCCAGAUACUGAUGACAGCCACUCAGAAUCAGAAAAAGCUCCUCCUCCCAAGGACACGUAUUUGUCAGCUUGUGAACCACUGAAGACAGAUCUGAAGAAUAAUAAUGAACGUGAGGUGGCAAACACAAAGAGGACUAACUGUGUCAACCACAAACUGAACAAAUACAUUUCUAAGGAAUGUAAGGAUGUUUAUGAAGUCACAAACCUGAACAAAAGCAAAAUCCCACCAGUCCAAGAGAAGAGGAUCUCACCACAGCACUCCUGGGUUAUGGGAAGGACUUGCCUCAGUCCGUCUCCAGUCGGGAUCAUUGAGAAGAUGAGAUGUUUUAUUGAGACUCUUAAAGAUGACAAGAGGUCAGUCCCAACCCUGGAUGUGAGCUGCUCCCCUCUCUGUAGUCUGCAGGGAACCCCGCUACUCGCAUCUCCCAACCCUUGCUGCCAGGAGGUCCCCUCCCCAAUCCCGCUGCUUCACAAACCUCUUUCUACAGUUUCCAGUAAAGCAAAGGGCAAGACCUCCUCUUUUCACAGUACAAAUAGAAAACACAGUUCAUCCAAGAAACAGUCCAUCCCCUCUCCCACUCCUCCUGGAGGUCACACUCCUGCACUCAGUCCUUCCUUUGGAUUCAAUGCAACAGAGGAGAAUCUCUUUUCAGCACCUCAGUCUCCUUUGUCUCUGCCCACUGAGCCCCUCUUAACGUCCACAGCCAUUGAGCAGGUGAAGCCACAGGUGCCCUCUCCCUCUCAGUCACCAUAUCCUAAAGACUCUGACUACGGACAGCGUUUUGCCUUUGCUAAGAAGCUCCCAGUGUUCAAGGCUUCUCUGAGCCAGUCAUCUUCAAAGUCAUCAGUCGUUACUGGCAGAAUCAAAGAGAGCCCCUCUCCACCUCAGAAUGUGUCUCCUAAAAUAGAGGUGGGAUUAGGCUGA
ensembl:lncRNA